rnacentral:misc_RNA from 1 species
GAUGAAGAAAGCAGCGAAAUGCGAUAAGUAAUGUGAAUUGCAGAAUUCAGUGAAUCAUCGAAUCUUUGAACGCACAUUGCGCCCGCCAGUAUUCUGGCGGGCAUGCCUGUUCGAGCGUCAUUUCAACCAUCAAGCCCCCCGGCUUGUGUUGGGGACCUGCGGCUGCCGCAGGCCCUGAAAAGCAGUGGCGGGCUCGCUGUCACACCGAGCGUAGUAGAUCUCAUCUCGCUCAGGGCGUGCUGCGGGUUCCGGCCGUUAAACCACCUUCAUAACCCAAGGUUGACCUCGGAUCAGGUAGGAAGACCCGCUGAACUUAAGCAUAUCAAUAAGCGGAGGA